rnacentral:rRNA from 1 species
ACAGCGGAGAGUUUGAUCCUGGCUCAGGAUGAACGCUAGCGGCAGGCUUAACACAUGCAAGUCGAGCGG